UUGCUUCUUUUCUCGCUCUCCGGCCAUCUUGGCGGCUGCAGUGAACUGGGGGCGUCCCGCGCCUAAGGCAGGAAGAUGGUGGCCGCAAAGAAGACGAAAAAGUCACUGGAGUCGAUCAACUCUAGGCUCCAGCUGGUUAUGA